rnacentral:rRNA from 1 species
CCCCUAGAUGUUCUGGGCCGCACGCGCGCUACACUGAUGAACGCAACGAGACGACCUGUACCGAAAGGCAUGGGUAAACUUGUGAAAGUUCAUCGUGAUGGGGAUAGAUUAUUGCAAUUAUUAAUCUUCAACGAGGAAUUCCUAGUAAGCGCGAGUCAUCAGCUCGCGUUGAUUACGUCCCUGCCCUUUGUACACACCGCCCGUCGCUCCUACCGAUUGAAUGGUCCGGUGAAAUCUUCGGAUUGCUGGAUAGGAGGGCAACCACCUAUCUGCGAGAAGUUGCUUGAACCUUAUCAUUUAGAGGAAGGAGAAGUCGUAACA